rnacentral:lncRNA from 10 species
GUUCCUUCAAGAGCAAGUGAAAGCUAGUGAAGAGGAAACAAACAGUACAGUUUAAAUCCCAUUAUAGAGGUAUUGAGAGGAUGCGUUGGGAGCAGGCAAGAAGAAUUACCAUGGGAAAAUCUGAGAAACAUUUUUAAGGGGAUGAAGAAUAGGAAAUUAUCGUAAGACACACUGGGAGAGAUACUGCUCAUGUCAAUUGGAAGAGCAACAUAAAAACAUGAAGAUGGCAACAAGGGGCUACUUCUGGGCAUCCUGUGAGUCAAGAUGCUGAGACAUACAGUUUCACUUAUUUUUGACAUCCUGAAGGCAACUGGAUGUUUCAAGUUCAGAUGAUGAGAAAGGUCUCCAUAAAAUUCAAGCUUUGGGGUAUGAAAACAGUGUUCAAAUAAAGCUGCUAGAGGUGCUUUCAAACACUGCCAAAAACGAAGAUGACAUGAUGAUAAUCUAAUAGACUUGGAGCCAGCAUCUGACACAUGAAGGCCAUCAUCGGAUGUGGGCUGAUUGAUCUUGGACUUCCAAGCCUCCAGAACUAGAACUACUCCACCAUCAUCUGAUGUGGUUCUGAUGGCUGUGUGUUUCUCAGCUUUAUCCUCAGCCUGUGGGUAAUUUAAAAUAAAUACUUUUGCAAGUGAACCAAUAGAAAUAUUUCACUGUCAUUGGGCAGAAAGCUAAAAACCUAAUUACGUUGGAAGUAGGAAGAGGAAGUAAGUAUGGUUGGAAGAGGUGGAGUCUGGUGCUGCCAGAGCAGAAAGCACAAAGAAGAACGUGCUUUUAGAUUAUUUGGGCCUUUCAUGCAUAAAUGACAAGAGAAGAAAUGGCUGUCAUUCAUCCUGAAAUAUGAAGAGAAGAGAAAGAAGAAAGUUGGAAACCCCCUUUUUUGCCACUUCAUGAUUCCAGCUGGGCUACACAAGGAACUUAAAGAAGCUUGCGAAUUGUUCUUGCUCCAUCAUGUCCUUCGGUGUCCCAGCUUACACUUACUCUUUAGGGAAUGUACUACUAGUUGCCUAAAUGCAGCAGGAGAACUAAAUAGGGAUUUUAAUAAAUAAGGGAAACAGAUGGAGGCUAGAAGCUCGCAAAGUUAAAAGAAUUGUGUGCUUAAUAGACUAAAUGCUUAAUCGCAGUAAUAGCUGCCAAGCCACCACAUAACUCACCAGUAUGCAUGAACUGUAGCAGUAAGAGAGUGACUGCUUUCAGUCUCAAGGACUUUCCUAAAAAUUCAAGGUUGUAAGAACCUAACCUAGAGAAUAAUUACUUGUCCAGACGUGAUAACAGACUCUGGCAGAACAAAAAUGACAGCUUGAUUCACAGACAAAUAUAAGUCGGUCUUGGAUGUCUGGCUUCCAUUUUUCUGUGGAGAGAUAGAUGUCUUUAAAAAGCCUCAGCAGUGAACAUCCUGUCAGUUAAAAAGGUCAGACACUGAAGUGUAUCAGAAGAGAUGAUGCUGCAUAGACCAUUGAGAGAAAAGAAAAUGAUUUCAUUAUCCUCGUUCAUCUGCUAUAGAUUAAUUCAGUUCCCAUCAUCGUAGCAAUUAAGGUAUUUUUGUAGUCCUGUCCUGACCUAGCUGAGGUGGAACAAGGUAAUAAAAAGAGGCAUCAAGGAGAAGGCUACUACAGCUGAGUUAAUACACCUUAGGAACAAGUGCUGUUAGUAACAGAGUUUGGGGUUGAUACAUUCAACUACAAUGCAUUAAGAAACACACACACACACACACACACACACACACAGACACACACACACAAAGCAUGCAAAUCCCCUAGAAACAUUUUCCUAUAUAUUAGAGUGUAAAAUUUGCAUCUUGUAUACCCAGUGAACUAUACCAGUGCUUGAAAACAAUUUUGUAAAAGACAGUUUUCUAUUCACAGUAUAUAAGUGGAUGAAACACUUAUAUAAGUGAAUGGAGAAAUAGAAGAAUGCUGGAAGGAUUGCUGCCCUCCAGGUCAAAUGGAGGGCUUAUUUAUUUUUUAUUUUUUUGCCAACCUGAGCUCUCAAUAGUUUGAGUGCAGCAUCUAGAAAGAGGACAUAACAGAUCCUCCUAAACUAGCUCCUUCUAAUUUUCUAUUUGCUCAGUCACUCUAGUUUAAAACCUUUGUCUUCAUGUUUAGCCACUCUUCUAGCACUCCUUAUACUAUUUGCCAAUUUAUAUUCCUUCCACUUCCUUCUAUUCAUUGUGCCUUCACAAGGUCAUAUCACUCCCCUUCUUUCCACUUUCACUUACACAGUCCUCACAGAAGCCCUCAUUACUCCUCACUUGGACAACCAUUAUAGCUUUCUAACUCACUCCCCACCUAUCCUUUUCAAACUCUAAUGUAUCCUACUCUCAACCAACAUAUUAAUCUUUCUAAACCUUAUCUUUAAUCGUGUCACCCCCUUGCUUGAAAAUGUCAAAAGGCUUUCCAGUGACUACUAAAUGAAAUGCUAAGUUAUCACCCUAGCACCCAAGGCUCCCCAGAGCAAGCAGCAGCCAACCAUUGGUGCCUUAUUUCCCAGUAGUCUUUUAUCCCCCCUGUACUCUGAUCUAUCCAGCCAGCCCAUGAACUGCUUCUUAGACACAUCUCCUGAACAGUUCCAUUUACGCUUCUACUCAUUCUUUUCCUUGUUAUUGGAAUGCCAUUUCCCUCACUUUAACUUGGAGUUCAUUCCAUCCUCCAAGGUCAGUCAUUCCUUCAGGUAACAUUUCUUGACUUCACCCUACUGAACAUAAUUCUCCAUUAUUUGUACCUCUCUUAAGGUACUAAUUAUAACCUUAUAGAACAGUUAAAAUAUUGAAGGGACUUGAAAUAAGAGCUAUUUAAACCUGUCUCUACAUAAUAAAAUAUUUUUUUAUUUUUACAUAAUAAAAAUUCAGCAAAAUUGAGUAAGAGCCAACUCCAUGCUUGAAAUGCAUCAAUGAACAAAGAAAAGCCUUACAAUCUAGAGGGAGGAAACAGACACCUAGACAUUUCAAAAUAUACAAAGUAAAUAAUAAGUAAAUUAUAUAACAUACUAUAUGUUGGCAAGUGUGAUUUUAAAAAAUAGAGUAAAGGGGAUGAGGGAGUCAGGACAGGUUGCAAUUCUAACUUUGGUUGUUAGGCCUCUUUACAAAGGCAGUAUUUAAGAAAAGACCUAAAGGAGAUAAAGGAGUUUGCCACAUAUCUACCUGGGCAACACGCAACCUCAGCAAAGGAAAUCUCAUCCUAUGCAAAGGCCCUGAGGCCUGUGCUGUUCAAUAAAGAGCAAAGAGUCAGGUGUGUCUGGAAUAGAAUGAGCAAGGAAGAAAGAGAAAAUGAGGUCAGAGAAAUAAAGAGGACAGAAGGAAGAGCUUGGAAGGUUUUUAGUUCAUUGUAGGACUCCAUUCAGUAAAACAGGAGAAACUGCAAGUUUUUCACACAUCCCGAGUAAAGGAGUGACAUAAUCUGACUUGCAUUUUGAAAGGAUCAUUCUGAUUGCUCUGUCGAGAUUACAUUGUGCAGGCAAAGAUAGGAGCAAGGGUACCUAUUAGGAAAGUAUAUUAUGUGAAUCUGGUAAGAGAUGACGAUGGUUUAGGUUAAAGUGAUAGUAAUAAAAGUAAUGGGAAGUGGUCAAAAUAUGGCUAUAUUUUCAUGGUAGAGCCAAUGAGAUUUUCUUGUAGAUUAAAUGUGGAAUGGAAAUAAAGAAAAGAGUCAAGAAUAACUAAGAUUUUUGGCUAAACAACUUACAAUGGAGUCAGAUCAAUUGAGAUGUAGAAGUUCGUGGGUUAAACCAUUUGGGGAGAAGGGCAAAUAUUAAAUGUUCACUUUUGAACAUACUUUCAGUUUGAGAUUUCUACUAGGUAUCUGAGUUGAAAAAUUGAGCAGGCAGUUCGAUGAGUCCAACUAUAAAAUGGGGAUAAUAAAUCUUACAAUAAUGAACAGAGGUGACCUGAAAAUUCAUAAAAGAUAAAAUAUAUGUACAAAUUUCAUCUUUGUUUAUGCUAUACUGCAUGUGAUUUUAUUAUUAUUGAGUUUGUGUAUGUGGUAUGUAUGUAUUUGUGUUUAUUAUGUAUUCUAUAUCAUCUGGAUGCCAAAUCUAUGUUUACUUUUUCAUUUUCAAAAAAAUAUUAGCUUUCUCUUGUUACAAAUUAAUGCAUCUUCAUUGUAGGAGAUACACUUCACCCAAAGUAAAAACUGUUAACAUUUCAAAGUAUAUUAUUCUUGAACUUUAUUUUUGAAGGAUUUUUACUUUUUGGGCAUCACCCUCAUAAUUUUACCCUUUGAAUUGAUGUGUUUAAAAUAUUCAUUUCAAUUAAAAUAUGUGUCUCAGGUUUUCAAAACAUAAGCUAUUUAAAAGAGACAUAGAAAACUACGCUUUCUUGACUGCUUUACAACUUCCUCCAUUUCCUUGGGUGGUGUUAACUUUAGCCAAAAGCUGCCUUCUUACAUAUUUUAAGUUUGGCCUGAAGGUUUCCCCAUAUAUAGUGCUCUGUAACCUAACUGGAUGUGUAAACAUGCUGUAAUAUACUCUUUUACCAAUCACUGAGUUUCGGCCAAUCAAAGGCAGGCAAAUGUUGAAACCAUGUCCAAAUAAGACAAACGCUGAGCUGUGACCAAUCCAGCUGUUCUCUGUAGCUCACUUCUGUUUUCUGUACAUCACUCUUCUUUUUCAGUCCAUAAAUUUUCUUUGACCACACAGCACAGACAGAGUCUCUCUAAACCUAUUCUGGUUCGGGUGCUGCCUGAUUCGUGAAUCAUUCUUUGCUCAAUUAAACUUUGUUACCUUUAUCUAAGGUUUUUCUUUUAACAAUUGUAAAACUGAAACUUGAAUCCAAGAUUUUCAAGUUACAAAAAAAGCAUUCUUUUUUUAUAUUACACCUUCAAUAUGUAAAAAAUAAGUACAUAAAUAAAAAAAUAGAUCUUUCAUUUCAGAAUCUCCUAUGGAGGAUCCUCAAUAAUUGCCAUAAACCCACUAACAUGAACUGUGUGAUUUUGUCAUGAAUUUUUAACCUAAUGCCUGGCUCUAUUUUAUGUUUUUCUUUACUGUCUUAUUCCUAAUGUAUACCAUCUAAUUGCAUCUUAUGUGUGUCUUUUUAAGUUUUUUUUUUAAUCCUUUCUGGAACAAGGCACAAAUCAACAAACCAAUAAACAGAUUUAUAAACAGAUUUAUGCCAUGUACAUAGGUCCUAGAUAUGAGUUACUGCAAAUUGUCUGACUCCCAGGUGAGACAGAGGAAAAGAUAUUGACACACAGUAUGGCAACUUUAAAUACUCGUAAUUGCAUACUUUGGAAAAAGGUGGCUUUUGUUUCUUAGAUUGGCUCAUUAUGAAAAAAGAAAAAAUUGUCUUACACACUUCCUCUAUCACUUUCUUUUCCAGUUGGAAGAAAAAAAAACCGAUUAAUCAAAUAUUGCUGCAAAAGCCAACCCCCC